rnacentral:rRNA from 1 species
GCCUCUUAGUAGAGGAUAACAGUCGGAAACGAUUGCUAAUACUCUAUACUUCUGCUUUACAUAAGUAAAGUAGAGAAAGUUUUUCGCUAAGAGAUGAGGCUAUACUGUAUCAGCUAGUUGGUAAGGUAACGGCUUACCAAGGCUAUGACGCAUAACUGGUCUGAGAGGAUGAUCAGUCACAUUGGAACUGAGACACGGUCCAAACUCCUACGGGAGGCAGCAGUAGGGAAUAUUGCGCAAUGGGGGAAACCCUGACGCAGCAACGCCGCGUGGAGGAUGACACUUUUCGGAGCGUAAACUCCUUUUAUCGGGAAAGAAUAAUGACGGUACCCGAUGAAUAAGCACCGGCUAACUCCGUGCCAGCAGCCGCGGUAAUACGGAGGGUGCAAGCGUUACUCGGAAUCACUGGGCGUAAAGGGUGCGUAGGUGGAUUAUCAAGUCUCUUGUGAAAUCUAAUAGCUUAACUAUUAAAUUGCUUGGGAAACUGAUAGUCUAGAGUAGGGGAGAGGCAGAUGGAACUCUUGGUGUAGGAGUAAAAUCCGUAGAUAUCAAGAAGAAUACCUAUUGCGAAAGCGAUCUGCUAGAACCUAACUGACACUGAUGCACGGAAGCGUGGGG